rnacentral:rRNA from 1 species
GCCUACCAUGCAAGUCGAGCGGUAGCACAGAGAGCUUGCUCUCGGGUGACGAGCGGCGGACGGGUGAGUAAUGUCUGGGAAACUGCCUGAUGGAGGGGGAUAACUACUGGAAACGGUAGCUAAUACCGCAUAACGUCGCAAGACCAAAGUGGGGGACCUUCGGGCCUCAUGCCAUCAGAUGUGCCCAGAUGGGAUUAGCUAGUAGGUGGGGUAACGGCUCACCUAGGCGACGAUCCCUAGCUGGUCUGAGAGGAUGACCAGCCACACUGGAACUGAGACACGGUCCAGACUCCUACGGGAGGCAGCAGUGGGGAAUAUUGCACAAUGGGCGCAAGCCUGAUGCAGCCAUGCCGCGUGUGUGAAGAAGGCCUUCGGGUUGUAAAGCACUUUCAGCGGGGAGGAAGGCGUUAAGGUUAAUAACCUUGGCGAUUGACGUUACCCGCAGAAGAAGCACCGGCUAACUCCGUGCCAGCAGCCGCGGUAAUACGGAGGGUGCAAGCGUUAAUCGGAAUUACUGGGCGUAAAGCGCACGCAGGCGGUCUGUCAAGUCGGAUGUGAAAUCCCCGGGCUCAACCUGGGAACUGCAUUCGAAACUGGCAGGCUAGAGUCUUGUAGAGGGGGGUAGAAUUCCAGGUGUAGCGGUGAAAUGCGUAGAGAUCUGGAGGAAUACCGGUGGCGAAGGCGGCCCCCUGGACAAAGACUGACGCUCAGGUGCGAAAGCGUGGGGAGCAAACAGGAUUAGAUACCCUGGUAGUCCACGCCGUAAACGAUGUCGAUUUGGAGGUUGUGCCCUUGAGGCGUGGCUUCCGGAGCUAACGCGUUAAAUCGACCGCCUGGGGAGUACGGCCGCAAGGUUAAAACUCAAAUGAAUUGACGGGGGCCCGCACAAGCGGUGGAGCAUGUGGUUUAAUUCGAUGCAACGCGAAGAACCUUACCUGGUCUUGACAUCCACAGAACUUUCCAGAGAUGGAUUGGUGCCUUCGGGAACUGUGAGACAGGUGCUGCAUGGCUGUCGUCAGCUCGUGUUGUGAAAUGUUGGGUUAAGUCCCGCAACGAGCGCAACCCUUAUCCUUUGUUGCCAGCGGUCCGGCCGGGAACUCAAAGGAGACUGCCAGUGAUAAACUGGAGGAAGGUGGGGAUGACGUCAAGUCAUCAUGGCCCUUACGACCAGGGCUACACACGUGCUACAAUGGCAUAUACAAAGAGAAGCGACCUCGCGAGAGCAAGCGGACCUCAUAAAGUAUGUCGUAGUCCGGAUUGGAGUCUGCAACUCGACUCCAUGAAGUCGGAAUCGCUAGUAAUCGUAGAUCAGAAUGCUACGGAAU